UGUAUCAGUUGAACUGGGGGAGCAAAUGUGGAAGAAGGUGCCAAAUCACAGGAGCAGCUGGCUUCACCACUUCCUACCUCGACAGAACAAGAGUUCCUCCUUAUGCACAAUGGAAGCCGUCACUCACCAAGACAUAACAGCAGCUACACGUACUGGUCAACCUUUCUAUGAAUUGAGAAGAACAAGUGAAUGAUGUGUCAAUACAUCAGAGAGGAUCAAGAUGGAACAUAUCACCUUGGGGUGCUUAUUGAAGUGAGCUGUUUGCAUUGUUUCUGACUCUGGCAGGAAAAAUGAAAUGGGAUUACUUCCUAAAUAAACUCUGCUACGGAAACAAUCAC